CGGAGGGUGCAAGCGUUAUCCGGAUUUAUUGGGUUUAAAGGGUGCGUAGGCGGUAUUAUAAGUCAGUGGUGAAAUCCUGCAGCUUAACUGUAGAUGUGCCAUUGAAACUGCAGUACUUGAGUUAUCUUGAGGUAGGCGGAAUGUGUAGUGUAGCGGUGAAAUGCUUAGAUAUUACACAGAACACCGAUUGCGAAGGCAGCUUACUAAGGAUAAACUGACGCUCAGGCACGAAAGCGUGGGGAUCGAACAGGAUUAGAUACCCUGGUAGUCCACGCCGUAAACGAUGAUGACUCGCUGUUGGCGAUACACAGUCAGCGGCUUAGCGAAAGCGUUAAGUCAUCCACCUGGGGAGUACGCUCGCAAGAGUG
rnacentral:rRNA from 1 species